UCAGAAAAAUGAUUUAACUGAAACAAAUCAGAAAUUGAUGACGUGCAUGCCAUGAGCAGCCAGUGAUGCAA